CUGCAGAGAGAGAGAGAGCUGCAGAGAGAGAGAGAAAGAAUAAGAGAGAGAGAGGGAGAGCGAGCUGCAGAGAGAGAGAGAGAGCUGCAGAGAGAGAGAGAGCUGCAGAGAGAGAGAGAGAGAGAGAGAGCUGCAGAGAGAGAGAGAGAGAGAGAGAGAGAGAGAGAGAGAGAGAGAGAGAGCUGCAGAGAGAGAGAGAGAGAGAGAGAGAGCUGCAGAGAGAGAGAGAGAGAGAGAGCUGCAGAGAGAGAGAGAAUAAGAGAGAGAGAGAGAGAGAGCUGCAGAGAGAGAGAGAAUAAGAGAGAGAGAGAGAGAGAGCUGCAGAGAGAGAGAGCUGCAGAGAGAGAGGGAGCUGCAGAGAGAGAGAGAGGAGAGAGCAGCAGAGAGAAAGAGAGAGAGAGAGAGAGAGAGAGAGAGGCGGAGAGGGAGACAGAGAGAGAGAGAGAGGCGGAGAGGGAAACAGAGAGAGAGGGAGAGAGAGAGGGAGCUGCAGAGAGACAGAGAGAGCAGCAGAGAGAGAGAGAAUAAGAGAGAGAGAGAGAGAGCUGCAGAGAGAGCUGCAGAGAGAGAGAGAGCUGCAGAGAGAGAGGGAGCUGCAGAGAGAGAGAGAGAGAGAGAGAGAGAAUAAGAGAGAGAGAGAGAGAGCUGCAGAGAGAGAGAGAGCUGCAGAGAGAGAGAGAGCUGCAGAGAGAGAGAGAGAGAGCUGCAGAGAGAGAGAGAAAGAAUAAGAGAGAGAGGGAGAGCGAGCUGCAGAGAGAGAGAGAGCUGCAGAGAGAGAGAGAGAGAGAGGGAAAGAUGGAGAGAG
ensembl:lncRNA